GUGCUCACUUUGGCAGCACAUAUACUAAAAUUGGAAUGAUACACAGAAGAUUAGCAUGGCCCCUGUGCAAGGAUGAUACGCAAAUUCGUGAAGCAUUCCAUAUUUUU
ensembl:snRNA U6 U6 spliceosomal RNA